AUUGAACGCUGGCGGCAGGCCUAAUACAUGCAAGUCGAGCGAGCGACGGACGGUUGAGUACGGUAUGGGGAAUGCCCGAUAGAGGGUGAUAACUACUGGAAACGGUAGCUAAUACCGUAUACUAUACGCUUAGCGAGAGGGUAUUGGCUAGUAGGUGAGUUAAUGGCUCACCUAGUCGACGAUCCCUAGCUGGACGGAGAGGAUGAUCAGCCACACUGGGACUGAGACACGGCCCAGACUCCUACGGAGGCAGCAGUGGGGAAUAUUGCACAAUGGGCGCAAGCCUGAUGCAGCCAUGCCGCGUGUAUGAAGAAGGCUCUAGGGUUGUAAAGUACUUUCAGUAGGGAGGCGGUAUCGACAGAAGAAGCAACGGCUAACUCCGUGCCAGCAGCCGCGGUAAUUC
rnacentral:rRNA from 1 species